AGAGGUGAAGCAAUCGAGGCAUCCCAAGACGGCCGGUAGAGCAUUCUACAUAUGCAAGUGGAAUGAUUCAUUGAAUCCUUGCCACUGCUUUUUCUUUCAGUGGAUCGAUGGUCCGGAUAAGUUCGAUCCUAGAAUUCGGCUGUUCCCUUAUUAUCGGUCAGAGUCGUGGGCGUACAAUGAGUUUAGACGAUGGGUCCCUCCCCCACCAAAUCCACCACCUAUGACAGAGGAAGAGAAGCAAGAAGCUGAUAUAUAUCGUGUGAACAAUCCUCCCAAAUGUCAUUGCGGUGUUCGUGCCAAACUUCAAAGGCCUAAUAUUGGUGUCCCUCCAAAGUUCACUUCCCUUUUUUAGAUGCUCGCUAAAGACUAGAGAUGGAUGGCCGGCAUGUGACUUCAAUGAGUAUAUUUAUGGUCCUAGAUCUCAUUGGCCGACAGAAGAGGAAGUGCGAGAAUUUGAGAGUGGGAAGAAGCCAUGGCCAUGUACAACUACUCCUAGUCUUCGAUGCAAGUGUGGUAUUCUGCUCACAAAAGGCGUAGUUCCUUCUGAGCUUGGCUACGGAUAUUACUGUGGCAAUAGCUACGGAGAGUAUUGGGAGGGAAGGACAUGUGAUUGGGAGUGGUUCGAAGGCUGGUAUGAGCUAAUGUUGCAAUUGGGCAGAACAAAAGAGCCUUGGAAAUCUCGAGACACUUUAAAUAGAAAACUAAAGAUAAGGAAGGAUUACCAAGUUACUUUGCCCCUUGAGUCAUUUCUGUCAGGGCCUGUACUCCAAGACCUACGGCGUGAGUAUGGAAAGAAGGCAGCAGAAAAGGCAACUCUUGAGGAUUGCAUUGUUUACUGGAGGAGGAACCGAAGCAAGUACCCACGGCCCCUCACAGAUAGGGAGCUUUUGGCAAAUUAUGAGAAGAAGGAGAAGGAGGAGGAGAUGGAGAGGCAAAGGUUAUGGGAGGAAAGAGCAAAGAAAUGUUUUACUGUUGAUCCGGAAGCUAAAUACCCAAAGGGUUCAUGGGAAGAAUAUUUUCAGAAAUUGGAGGCUAACAAGAGGAUGGAAGAAAUGGAAAAGAUGGAGGAUUUAGCUCAGGAGGCUCAGAUGGAGGCAAUGCAGGCCCUAGUUGCCGAUCUGCCACACAAGGUGCCGAACGUUGAGAAGGAUGUGUCAUCCGCGAGCACGGAGGUUUUGGGUGUUAGAGCUACUCAAAUGGAGGCAAUGAAGGCACUUGUAGGAGACUUACCUGCCCAGGAUC